rnacentral:lncRNA from 1 species
UCCGCGCUGAUGGUGCGGCUGUUUGGACUACAUUUCCCAUCAGCCCUUUCGCAGCACCGCGAGAGCUCCGGCGAGACCGCGGAGACGACCUGCGCUCGGGCGCGGCUCCGCCCUCCUUUCGAGAACCGCCGCGUGGCUGGAGUCAUGGCGGCCUCAGCGGUGUCCGAGAAAGGCCGGCAAACUCCUGCCUUUGGCGGCGGCCGUUGUGUGGCAUCUGCGGCAACGGUGAGACGCAGACCUGCAGGUUGAACCUUAAAAGUGACGAAUGGAGCCUUGAAAUUAAAGAUGUUGGCUCUAGACUUGAAAAAAGACCCAUGAAAACCGUCAUCCGAAAACGGUACAGUGUCAGCCUCAGUUUGAGGCCGAAAAGGAAGCCCGGAAGAAGACGCUGGCAGCAGUACCCCGCUGGCUGCCCUGGACCCAAGGCAGAAUUUCCCUUGUGUCUGCAGUGUGAGGCAGAACGGUUUUGCCUGGAGCAAGUGAAACGAUUCCUCUCCUGCUGUUACUAGUUAUCUCCCUGUGAUGCCAGACGGGAUCAGCACAGCCCCAGGAGCUAGUUGCUACUGCCUAUAAGAUACCCUCCCCCACCAAAGAGAAUCAUUUAAGGGUUUAGGAGUUGCUGUUGUGGCCCAGUGGGCUAAGAACCUGACAUAGUCUCUGUGAGGAUUCGAGUUUGAUCCCUGGCCUUGCUCAGUGGCUGGGCAUCCAGUGUUGCCCUCAUCUGUGGUGUAGGUUGUGGGUAAGGCUUGGGUCUGGCGUGGCUGUGGCUGUGGCGUGGGCUGGAGCCUCCAAUUCGACCCUUAGCCUGGGAGCUUCUGUGUGCUGUGGGUGCGACCCUAGACAGAACAUAAGAGUUACUUGAACUUCAUCUUUGGGAGUAGUCAGAGACAUUUUAUCUCGGAAGAUCUUGGGCAGUUAGUGAAAUUAGGUAGAACUAAGAACAUUCAGAACAACAUGGUUUAGGUGUGUUGAGGUACAGCUCGCGGUGCUGGGACUGCAGCGGUGGUGAAGCGAAGGGAUUGUGAGAUCAACGUGUUGGGGGGGGGGAGACUAAAGGGAAACAGGUGUUUAGCUGGAGAACGCGCUCCGUGGAUUUCCUAUCAAGUCAGUGGUCUUGGGUUUAACUUUGAAACAAAUAAAAAUUUUUAAAAACUGAGUUAAGAGCA